rnacentral:rRNA from 1 species
GUGGAUUAGAUACCCUAGUAGUCCACGCCCUAAACGAUGUCAACUAGGUGUUGGGUGGGUAAAACCAUUUAGUACCGUAGCUAACGCGUGAAGUUGACCGCCUGGGGAGUACGGCCGCAAGGUUAAAACUCAAAGGAAUUGACGGGGACCCGCACAAGCGGUGGAUGAUGUGGAUUAAUUCGAUGCAACGCGAAAAACCUUACCUACCCUUGACAUGUCCAGGAGCCUGAAGAGAUUUGGGUGUGCCCGAAAGGGAACUGGAACACAGGUGCUGCACGGCCGUCGUCAACU